rnacentral:rRNA from 1 species
CGCUUAGAAGGAAACGGACGGAGCUGAAAAGUCAGCUGUCGGAUUCAGUUUUCCAGCUGCCUGUGUGGCGGUAGGAGAAUGCAUUUCUGGCAGUUGUGCGUCACGACCAGUAUUUUCGCUGGCGAAGAUUGGUGCAGAGCCGACUGAGUCUUUGACUUAGUGCCCCAUGCACCUAUUCUGACCGUGUCGAAAGUACUGGAGACUAGCCGUGCCCGCUUGUCUCGAGCUUGGUGAAUGCUUGUCGACUUAACUGUCUGGUUCUAAUCGCAGAGCCUGACGCCCACCGGUUAAGUUAUUCUCCUUGUCUUCGAGUGGCACGUGAAGGUCUGUGGCGUCCGAGUCAUCCACCCGUCUGACCCGUCUUGAAACACGGACCAAGGAGUCUAACAUGUGCGCAAGUCAUUGAGUGGUAAACUCAAAGGCGAAAUGAAGGUAAAGGCUAGUUCCGCUAGCUGAGGUGAGAUCCUGUGACUUGUCACAGGCGCAUCACCGUCCCGUCCUAUGAGUGACGUCUCUUGGGUGGAGAAAGAGCGUGCAUGCUGGGACCCGAAAGAUGGUGAACUAUGCUUGAGCAGGAUGAAGCCAGUGGAAACUCUGGUGGAGGUCCGCAGCGGUUCUGACGUGCAAAUCG